GGACAGUGGGAGAACAACAACAUCCUGGUGUUCAGAGUGGAAUAGUGUGUACAUUGGCUGCUGAGUCAGGACAACGAAGCUGAGGAUGUGGUGGACAAGAAUAAACUGAAUACUCAGAAGGAGAGCACCAGCAUUGGUAUCGAGUUGGCCCAGCAUCAGUACCAGUCCAGCAUGCAGGAGAUCCAGUCAAGGACGACCCUUCCCCUCCCCUGACCACUAACUCCUCACUUUUGACCUGCAGCCUCAAAGGAUCAGCAUAGUUGAACAAUUCUGUUCUGCAGGAAAUUCUCAGCACGUCAAGUUUUCACGGGCUGUUCUCAACAACCGCAAUGUCCUGGUCGAGUUUUCCACACUCAAGCCUGAGUAGUUUUGUUAAAUAUAAGCAGUAGAAAUGGUAAAUCUAACAGCCAGUGUGCUUGCUCUGGGACAUCACAAAGAAUAUCACAGAAUACAAAGUUGAAUAACUUGUUCCAUUCAUUAUGGGACCAACAGAAAUUCAGCAAGAAACAGGGCAAAAAAUCAAGGAACAAUUGAAGCGAUUAAUUUAGAAGUGUAGGUUUUCCAAAGUAGAUACUUCUGCUGUUGAUAGUUUUGACAGUAAUAGCGUUAUGGACGUCUCGGUUUGUCCUCUCAGGCGUGUAAACUGUCCAAAGAGAACACGCUUCUGACGCUUUUGCUGACGAAGAAAGGCAGUAAUGACUUGGCUGUGAACACCCAGAGCACAAUACAUCCUUGGGGCAUGCCUCAGACGCAAAUUCCGCUCAAGAUUAUAAACAAGGCGCAAAAUGUGAAUAUGUCUAGCUUUGUUACGAGCACUUCCCACUCUGAGCCCAUAGGCCUCGUAUUGAAUCGAGGCUGAGAAGGCAUUGACAAAUGACAGCAGUUGUGUUGUGUGGUCCAGUAUGCCCAUCGACUCUCAACCCAACGUUAAUCAGAACUCAAACUCGGCCCUUAGCAAUAUCAGCUCAGCUCCUUGAGCCUCAGGACUUGAUGCAAUCCAUGAUUGGUACCCAGCUUAACAACAGGCUCUUUGGUCAGCUGGUCCCAGACGCCCAGAGACACUUCCUGUGCAUCGGGGGUAGUUGGCUCUUGGCGCAGGACCUCGGGGCAAAUGCUCAACGAAUCCUUCCCGCAGGGUGCAGCCAGUCUAAACCUGGGGAUUCAAACUUUCCUGCCUAAGGGCCGAGAUUAUCUCAUCCACAAGGCACACAUUUCUGGGAGGCGCUAAGACCAUUUUAUCAGAGUCUUAUACUCACAAGUUCAGGCCCAGAGAGAAAUAUCCCCAACUACAACUUUGCCCCUACAUCACAAUAGGAGAGCACCAGCAUUGAUAUUGUGUUGGCCCAACAACAGCACCAGUCUGGCAUGCAUGAGCCCCAGUCCAGGACAACCCUUCCCCUACCCUGAUCCAUAUCUCCUCCCCCAAGACCUUCAGCCUCAAAUUCUUAACACAUCCAGUUUUCUUGCACUGUUCUCAUCAACCGCAAUGUCCACGUCAAGUUAUCCACUGUCGAGCCUGAGUAGUUUUGUUUAGCUUGAGUGUCCGAGUGGGAAGAGUGUUAUAGACACAAGGAGUUAUAUCAGUAGUUAUGGUAAUGCUCAAUCAACAGUCAGUUCUUGCUGUUGGACAUCACUGCGAAUAUCACGAGGAAUAAGAAGUUGAAUAACUUGUUCCAUUCAUUAUGGGACAAACACAAAUUUAGCGAGGAACAGGGUAAAAAAAUCAAGGGACAAUUGAAGUGAUUAAUGCAGAAGUGUACGCUUUCCAAAGUAGAUACUUGUGCUGUUGAUAGCUAGGACAGUAGUAGCGUUACGGACCGUCUUGGUUUGUCCUCUCAGGCAUCUAAAGGGAACAUGAAGCUUUUGACGCUGUUGCUGAUGAAGAAAGGCAGUAAUGACUUGGCUGUGAACACCCAGAGCACAAUACAUCAAUGGGGCAUGCCUUGGACGCAAAUUGCGCCCAAUAUUGUAAACAAGGUGCAAAAUGUGAACAUGUCUAGCUUUGUUACCAGCACUUGGCACUCCGAGCCUAAAGGGUCUAGUAUUGAAUCGAGGAUAGAGAUGGCUUUGAAAAAUGACAGCAGUUGUGUUCUGUGGUCCAGUACACACUUCGCCUCUCAAUCGAGUUAGUCAGAACUCAAACUCUGGCCUUAUUAAUAUCAGCAAGUUGUAGAGACGCUCAAACUGAAACAAUUUGUUCCAACAGAUAGAACAGGCGUUGAUUGACUCGUCCGUAAAUGUGACUGGCCUUAAUAUGUUGCUCUCGAAUAAUGUGAACCUCACCAGGAGAGCUGUCUUCGAUUGACGCCAUUCAACAACAGUUGUUGUCGGGAAUUCCCAGGUUUGGGUUGGUGACUUAGGUGUCAGGACUCGCUUCAUCUCUGCACAUGGCACGGUCGCAGCAGCAGCAACAAGAACAGCAGCUGUUUCCUAAAGGACCUCAUGCAAUCAUGGAUCGGUACCCAGAUGAACACCAUACUCUCUAGUCAGCUGUGCCCAGACGCCCAGGGAGACUUCCUGUGCGUGGGGUUGAUGGGCUCUUGGCCCAGGAUCUUAGGGCAAAUGCUCUAGUCCUACCCCCAGGAUGCAGCCAGUCUUAACCUGGGGCUUCAAUCUGUCAGAUCCAGGAGCCGAGAUGACCUCAUCCACAAGGUU